rnacentral:rRNA from 1 species
GAUGAACGCUGGCGGCGUGCCUAAUACAUGCAAGUCGAGCGAACAGACGAGGAGCUUGCUCCUCUGACGUUAGCGGCGGACGGGUGAGUAACACGUGGAUAACCUACCUAUAAGACUGGGAUAACUUCGGGAAACCGGAGCUAAUACCGGAUAAUAUAUUGAACCGCAUGGUUCAAUAGUUAAAGACGGUUUUGCUGUCUCUUAUAGAUGGAUCCGCGCCGCAUUAGCUAGUUGGUAAGGUAACGGCUUACCAAGGCAACGAUGCGUAGCCGACCUGAGAGGGUGAUCGGCCACACUGGAACUGAGACACGGUCCAGACUCCUACGGGAGGCAGCAGUAGGGAAUCGUCCGCAAUGGGCGAAAGCUUGACGGAGCAACGCCGCGUGAGAGAUGAAGGUCUUCGGAUCGUAAAACUCUGUUAUUAGGGAAGAACAAAUGUGUAAGUAACUAUGCACGUCUUGACGGUACCUAAUCAGAAAGCCACGGCUAACUACGUG